GAGCCACCCAGGCGCCCCCUCUCUUCCUUCUUUAAAAAAAUCUGGACUGGGAUCUCAGCUGACAGCUCAAUUAAGUGAAGUGAGCAAAGAUUUCCCAGCUGUUGCCAGCUCAAAGGGCGUUACGUCCAUAAAGAAAAAGCAGUCUUUCUAACCAGAAAGCACCAAAGAUCUUGAUCGUAGGCAGCACGGAUCAGUGCAAUCACGGGCAUGGACAAGGAGUCAAGAAUUUCUCUACAUUGAAUCUCUCUGUACAGAAUAUCUCUACAUUGUGCCUUUAGAAAAAAAUGGAAAGAAAAUAUCUGGCUCGCAGAGAACUUGUACUGAGUAAUGAACUAUAACAGUGCUCAGCACAGAGCAGGUGCUCAGUAAAUACUUGUUUGCUGAAGUAACGUUUGAUUUGAAUGGACUCUAAAAUGCCUUCAUCUGACUAAGUGCCGUCUUACAUCAGCUUUCUCAGAGUAGUGUUUCCAUACAGGCAAACCUUCUAAUCCCCAGUAAAAGAAAAGAUUACAUAAAUAUUCAGUAACUUGAAGUUUUAAGUAAAUGCCCAGUGUCCUACCUCUAAACAUGUCUGCAGAUGAUCUUGGUUUGCUCCCUGGAGAAGAACCAAAUACUUUAGAUAAGGGGGGAAUAUCCUCUCUCUCUGCUUGUAUAGACUUGGCCUAACUUAAAAAUAAAUGUUUAGUUAAGAUGAUCUCCGGCUUGACCUUUCUGAAGGCACGGGAAGCUGGCUUGAGCAUAGCUGUCCAUGGCUAUAGAUUGGAAUGUCUCAGUGUAGGUGGAACAGUGUUCUCAAGGGAAGCCCUUCCUCAUUUACUAGCUGGGUAUGUUAAUACCCUUUGGUAUUUACCUCAGUCUUCAACAAGUCAAAAUCUGUGGGGUAAUAUAUACAGUCGAUAAUUCUUAAACCAACAUAAUACACUGAGAUGCUUGUAACUGAUGAGUGAGUUAGGCUCAGCCUUCAGCACUAUGAUUAAUCAUAUAAAUUUGUAAAAGGUGCAUAAUCAUAGCUAGUGGGAGAGACUGCUAACUGUGCUUACAGAAUGUGCCUAUUCCCUCCUAUUUUCCUGGAGUCUUCUAGCUCAAAAGCUUUUGGGUUAUGGAUAGGUAAGUUGCAUUUAUCAACAACCAGUGGAAGAAGUAUGAUGUUGGUAUUUAAAUCUCAUCUCUCAUUUAAUAUUGGGCAAACAUCUGCCCUUCUCUGAGAAUUAAUUUCUUUAUCUUCUACCAGUGCAACAUCAGGGGCUGAGUGAGAUUUUUCAUGUUGUCUCAGAACCAUCAAAGACUCAAAGCUGGGAAUAUGUACCCCAAAUUCUAAGCCCCAGGAACCACAGCUACUGAGACCUGCUAUCUCUUUGCAGGGCUUGAUAAGGAUUAUCCAGCAGACCUGGGGUUACUACUCCAUUGUCUUUCACCUCCUCCUGAUAUUUAAAAACAACAACAACAACAACAACAACAACUGAGAAGAGGAGUCUUUUGAAGGAACAAAGUGUUCACUUUCUCUCUUCAUCUCCUCCAUUGAAGGAAAGAGAGGGAGGUCCAAGAGAAUCGUUCAUAAACUUGGGAGUGGCUAAGGAAAGGCAGACUGACACUUUAUUCCCUGGUUGAAUAUCUGCUUAUAUAGCAGAGCUGAUGAACUACCUCUGAGCUGUCAGUGGACCACACACUACUUCGGGACCUCAUGUAAACUCACCUUCAAAGUAUUGCCACAUGUUGCCAGGGACAACUGGUUGAGCCAUUGCCGCAUUUGGCGAGCCAUGCGGUCUAAAACUUGACAACAGCAGCCCAUGGGAGUAUGUGUUUCUAAAUUGCACAAGGACUCUGUCAGCUCACCAGGCGUGUGCCUGUGAGGUGAUGAAUGCUCAAUGCUCAGCAGGAGCAUCUUUUCCUAAGUUGUAUAAAGGUGACCCUGCACUUUUUAACUGUCCCUUGCCCCCACCCUAGUCUCUCUUAAUUUCAAAUUCUUUUGUACCUGGCUGACAAAUCAAUUUCUCUUUUUUUACCUGAAGGAAAUUUCUUUUUGUACAUAAAAAAAGACACCCUUAAGGGCACCAGCAACAUCACAUAUAUUGGGUGUUGCUAUAGAGGGGCUGAGCAGAGACUCAGCCUGGACAUACAGUGAAAUAAAAUCUUCCUAGCACCGUGAUUCUCAAACUUUAAUGUGUACACAAAUCACUAUCAGAUCUCAUUAAAAGGCAGAUUCUGUUUUGGAAGAUCUGGGUGGAGUGUGAAAUUCGGCAUUUCUAACAAGUGCUUACGUGGUGCUAAUGAUGCUAGUCUGAGGACCACACUUUAGCAAGCAAAUUUCAUUGAAUUCUCACAAAGAUCCCUAUGAGAGAACAAGCAGGGGAGGGGCAGAGAGAGAGAGAGAGAGAGAGA